rnacentral:rRNA from 1 species
CCUACGGGAGGCAGCAGCUGAGAAUCUUCCGCAAUGGACGAAAGUCUGACGGAGCGACACCGCGUGAAUGAUGAAGGCCGAAAGGUUGUAAAGUUCUUUUGCAGACAAAGAAUAAGUGCAGGAGGAAAUGCCUGCAUGAUGACGGUAGUUAUGCGAAUAAGCCCCGGCUAAUUACGUGCCAGCAGCCGCGGUAAUACGUAAGGGGCGAGCGUUGUUCGGAAUUAUUGGGCGUAAAGGGCAUGUAGGCGGUUAGGUAAGCCUGAUGUGAAAUCUACGAGCUUAACUCGUAAACUGCAUUGGGUACUGCUUAACUUGAAUCAUAGAGGGGAAACUGGAAUUCCAAGUGUAGGGGUGGAAUCUGUAGAUAUUUGGAAGAACACCGGUGGCGAAGGCGGGUUUCUA